CGGAGCAUGGCGUAGUUUGGUAGCGCGCACGGCUGGGGGCCGUGAGGUCGCAGGUUCAAAUCCUGUUGCUCCGA
rnacentral:tRNA from 1 species